UAGUUAAAAUUGGUGUCUUAAUUCACCGUUAAAAUAAUUAGGUGACGACUCUUUAAUUAAUUAAAUCUUCAAAAUUACAAAUAUAUUAUACUCUAGUUUGACCCGUGUUAAAAUGGGACAUAACAAUGUGAAAAGUCAUCUAAAAAAACGUGUUUCUAGCAUAGUUAUACCAUGCAGGAACAAAUCUGGACAGAACUAUCAUCUUUGAGCUUAAGUGGCAAAACCUACAAACUUUUUAUACUUCAUGCGUCGCACUAUGCUAAGCAGGGUGCGUAGCAUUAGUGCAAUUUGCUUUGUUGUAGACUCUCCGAACUUAGUUUGUCUGAUAAAAUUUUGUACUGACGCUACGCACGAUGACUAGCAUUAGUGUUUUUUUCUGUCAGACCCAAAAAUUCCAAGUUUCUGAACUUCUCCAUCUUCAGACGAAAUUUUGUACUAAUGCGACAAUUAAUGCCACGCCUUAUGCGAUGCACUAGUACUUUUUUUGCUCCAGCCCUUGCUCUUUCUUCCAACUUUCGUAUGCAACGCCAGUCCAUGAGCCCCAUAAGCAAUCCCGGUUUAAUUCCUUGGCUUUUAUGCAGACGUCAAAGCUCCAAUAAUUCGAUUUAGCUCCAGAACAUCUUCUUAACUCAGCAUCAUCUCCUACAAAGCAUAAAAUACACAAUUAGUGGAAAACACUACCAAUUAAAGCUGAAACACAAGUAAAGUACAGUGAAUUAGUGCAAUAAGCAACUAAAAUACGGGAUUAUAGCCUACUAUCAAUUACAGUGCGCUAACAGUCCACAUAAGUUGUAAAAAUACUUAUAAUAGUGGAGUAAGUAUUGCUUGAAAACACAAAGUUGCUCCAAAAUCCUGCAAGUUGAAGCACGUCAUUGGCCGUUUUCUAUAUUAUUUGAUAGUUUUCCCCGUCAAUAGACAAUGUAUUGUGUAAAACGUUUGACUAAUGACUACAGUGGAUCAUUAGGCCUUCGCCAUUAGAAAAGGUUAAUCGUGGACUUGGUUGAAAACACAAGUACCUAUAUAGGGGUUCCCCUGUCACUGCAGAACUCAGCAGCAUCCGAGCAACAACCAUCACAACUCAGAUUAAGAGAAAAGGCAAGAGAAGAACAAAGCCAAUUCUUCUAGGAAUGAAAGCCCCUAUUCAAAGAGAGUUGAAUUUGCUCUCAAGAUCAAAGGCAUACCUUUCCAGCUUGUGCGAGAGGGACUUGAGCAACAAGAGUCCAUUGCUUCUCCAACACAACCCAAUCCACAAAAAGGUACCCCUGUUGAUUCACAACGGUAGAGCUGUUGUGGAAUCACCUGUCAUCAUUGAAUAUAUUGAUAAAACUUGGAAUCUCAUACCUAAACUCUUGCAAGAAGAUCCAUAUGAAAGAGCCACAGUACGUUUCU
rnacentral:lncRNA from 1 species